AGCCUUUGUGUUGCCCGUUCACCUUGGGAACUAGUGAACGUGGUGUCAAAAAAGGCGUAAAUGAAACGCUCUGCAGCCUCUUCCUGCCCUCGGGUUGGUGUCCUCGGUGUCGGGCUGCACGAGGGACAGCC
rfam:Tupaia chinensis contig44591, whole genome shotgun sequence.